rnacentral:rRNA from 2 species
CUCAAAUGAAUUGACGGGGGCCCGCACAAGCGGUGGAGCAUGUGGUUUAAUUCGAUGCAACGCGAAGAACCUUACCUGGUCUUGACAUCCACAGAACUUUCCAGAGAUGGAUUGGUGCCUUCGGGAACUGUGAGACAGGUGCUGCAUGGCUGUCGUCAGCUCGUGUUGUGAAAUGUUGGGUUAAGUCCCGCAACGAGCGCAACCCUUAUCCUUUGUUGCCA